GAUGAAGAACGCAGCGAAAUGCGAUAAGUAGUGUGAAUUGCAGAAUUUAGUGAAUCAUCGAAUCUUUGAACGCACAUUGCGCCCUUUGGUAUUCCUUAGGGCAUGCCUGAUCGAGCGUCAUCUACACCCUCAAGCACAGCUUGGUGAUGGGCGCCUGUCCCGCCCCCCACGGGGGCGCGGACUCGCCUCAAAUGCAUUGGCGGCCGGCGACCUGGCUUCGAGCGCAGCAGAAACGCGUACUCGGGGACCGGGCGCCCGCUCCCAGAAGCCAACCCACCCAGUUUGACCUCGGAUCAGGUAGGGAUACCCGCUGAACUUAAGCAUAUCAAUAAGCGGAGGA
rnacentral:misc_RNA from 1 species